AUGCUGUUAGCUCAGCAGGUUAGAGAAUUGCCUUCUAAGCAAUCGGUCACUGGUUCGAUUCCAGUACAGCGUACCA
rnacentral:tRNA from 3 species